CGCACGGUGGAUGCCUUGGCACUAGAAGCCGAUGAAGGACGUUACUAACGACGAUAUGCUUUGGGUAGCUGUAAGUAAGCGUUGAUCCAGAGAUUUCCGAAUGGGGGAACCCAGCAUGAGUUAUGUCAUGUUAUCGACAUGUGAAUUCAUAGCAUGUCAGAAGGCAGACCCGGAGAACUGAAACAUCUUAGUACCCGGAGGAAGAGAAAGAAAAAUCGAUUCCCUGAGUAGCGGCGAGCGAAACGGGAAGAGCCCAAACCAACAAGCUUGCUUGUUGGGGUUGUAGGACACUCUAUACGGAGUUACAAAAGAACAUGUUAGACGAAUCAUCUGGAAAGAUGAAUCAAAGAAGGUAAUAAUCCUGUAGUCGAAAACAUAUUCUCUCUUGAGUGGAUCCUGAGUACGACGGAGCACGUGAAAUUCCGUCGGAAUCUGGGAGGACCAUCUCCUAAGGCUAAAUACUCUCUAGUGACCGAUAGUGAACCAGUACCGUGAGGGAAAGGUGAAAAGUACCCCGGAAGGGGAGUGAAAGAGAACUUGAAACCGUGUGCUUACAAGUAGUCAGAGCCCGUUAAUGGGUGAUGGCGUGCCUUUUGUAGAAUGAACCGGCGAGUUACGAUCUGAUGCAAGGUUAAGCAGCAAAUGUGGAGCCGCAGCGAAAGCGAGUCUGAAUAGGGCGUUGAGUAUUUGGUCGUAGACCCGAAACCAGGUGAUCUACCCUUGGUCAGGUUGAAGUUCAGGUAACACUGAAUGGAGGACCGAACCGACUUACGUUGAAAAGUGAGCGGAUGAACUGAGGGUAGCGGAGAAAUUCCAAUCGAACUUGGAGAUAGCUGGUUCUCUCCGAAAUAGCUUUAGGGCUAGCCUCAAGUGAUGAUUAUUGGAGGUAGAGCACUGUUUGGACGAGGGGCCCCUCUCGGGUUACCGAAUUCAGACAAACUCCGAAUGCCAAUUAAUUUAACUUGGGAGUCAGAACAUGGG
rnacentral:rRNA from 1 species